rnacentral:rRNA from 1 species
AGCGAACGCUGGCGGCAGGCCUAACACAUGCAAGUCGAACGGACCCUUCGGGGUUAGUGGCGGACGGGUGAGUAACACGUGGGAACGUGCCUUUAGGUUCGGAAUAGCUCCUGGAAACGGGCGGUAAUGCCGAAUGUGCCCUUCGGGGGAAAGAUUUAUCGCCUUUAGAGCUGCCCGCGUCUGAUUAGCUAGUUGGUGGUGUAACGGACCACCAAGGCGACGAUCAGUAGCUGGUCUGAGAGGAUGAUCAGCCACAUUGGGACUGAGACACGGCCCAAACUCCUACGGGAGGCAGCAGUGGGGAAUCUUGCGCAAUGGGCGAAAGCCUGACGCAGCCAUGCCGCGUGAAUGAUGAAGGUCUUAGGAUUGUAAAAUUCUUUCACCGGGGACGAUAAUGACGGUACCCGGAGAAGAAGCCCCGGCUAGCUUCGUGCCAGCCGCCGCCGUAACAC